UACGUAGGGUGCGAGCGUUGUCCGGAAUUAUUGGGCGUAAAGAGCUCGUAGGCGGUGUGUCGCGUCGGCCGUGAAAACCUGGGGCUCAACUCUGGGCGUGCGGUCGAUACGGGCAUCACUGGAGUUCGGCAGGGGAGACUGGAAUUCCUGGUGUAGCGGUGAAAUGCGCAGAUAUCAGGAGGAACACCGGUGGCGAAGGCGGGUCUCUGGGCCGAUACUGACGCUGAGACGCGAAAGCGUGGGGAGCAAACAGG
rnacentral:rRNA from 1 species